rnacentral:rRNA from 1 species
UACGAAGGGGGCGAGCGUUGUUCGGAUUUACUGGGCGUAAAGGGUGCGUAGGCGGGUCUUUUAAGUCAGGGGUGAAAUCCUGGAGCUCAACUCCAGAACUGCCUUUGAUACUGAAGAUCUUGAGUUCGGGAGAGGUGAGUGGAACUGCGAGUGUAGAGGUGAAAUUCGUAGAUAUUCGCAAGAACACCAGUGGCGAAGGCGGCUCACUGGCCCGAUACUGACACUGAGGCACGAAAGCGUGGGGGAGCAAACAGG